rnacentral:lncRNA from 1 species
UGUGGCAGAGAUAAAGUGGUGUAUAUAAGAUCAUAGAUGGGUCCGCGUGGUUUCAGAUUUCUACUGUAGGGUAAAAAGGUUUUGUUCAAGUGACAAAGUUCAAGAUCAAAGAAACAGAUCACGGGUGGAUGUGUUUUUCAAAUAUGGAAUAUUAAAUUUGUGUUUUAGUGGCAAAGAUCAAGCACAACAUACAGAUCAUGGACAAAGGUGUUGUUAGAUCUGGAGCACAAACGGGCUACCAUGGAAAUGAACCUCUACAUCUAGGCAGUGGUGCAAAUGGAAAACAGACAUUCAGAUCUACAAAGUUGUACGGCAGAUUCUGGAGUACAAAACGGUUACCAUGGAAACAUACAUCUAGGCAGUGGUAUAGAUGGGUGACCGACGUCUAGAUCUGCAAAGUUAUACAGCAUAUUUUGGAGAAUACAUGGUAUGAAGUUUACUUUUAAUUUCUUGUAACACUAGAAUACAUUUGUUUCUGUCUUUACACAUGCCUUUCUGUAUCUUAUGCAUUCAACAGGGUUACCACGGAAACGUAUAUAUACCUAAAGGCAAUGAUAUGAACGGAAUGCAGACGUUCAGAUACACAAAGUUUUACAGCAGAUGAAGCAUGUAAGGUGUGUAUGUUUACUUUUUCUUCCUUUUGGCAACAUUGUUAUGUUUGUUUCUGUUUUUACACAUGCCUGUCUGUAUCUAUACACACAACAGGUUUAGCACAGAAACGCAUGUCCACAUCAAUGCAAUGGUAUAAAUGGAUGACCGACGUUCAGAUGUACUAAGUUAUACAGCAAAUUUUGGAACAUAAAGGGUUUGUAUAUUUACUUUUCUUUUGAUGCGUAAUUUGUAUAAAGGUAAUACUAAGAUUAUAUAUGUUUGUUUCUGUUCUUACACAUGCAUUUCUCUAUCUGUACACUCAACAGGGUUACCAUGGAAACGUACCUCUUCAUCUAGGUAAUGGUAUAAACUGAUGACCGGCGUUCAAGUCCCUGGCAAAGAGAGAAAUCCAGCUGUCGAUCAAGCGCUACAGGCUUAGCUUUAAAUAAUCUAAGCCUUGCUAAGACCUGAAAAUAAAUGUCAGGCAAAACUGAAACAAAAGCAAAAUAACUGGAUGCACUUAGAGAGCACCUAAUCUAUCUUGUAUAUUUUCGCUUCGUAAUACUGUAUGUUUAGUGUUUGCUGUUUUGUCAGGGAUCUGUUUGCAGUGGCUACUUCGUUGUUUUUGUGGUGGUGUUUAUUGUGGUGUUUGUUGUGGUGUUUUUGUGUAUAUGGAGGUGUCUGUGGUGGUUUCAAUGUGGUCUUCUCGGUUUUAUUCUUGAUGGUUGUAUUGUUUUGUUGAAAACGGGCAUUUGGUGCGUUUUGUUUGUUGUAUUGGGCUGUUCGUCAUGGUGUUUUUCUUUCUGCCAUUACCAAUGUAUUAUUACUCGCUUCGUAUACUGUAGAAAAUUAUUAGAAUAAGUUCAAUAUUACAUUGUGUUAUAACUUUACUUGUACAGCAAAUUUUAGAUACCCGGAAACACAUAUGAAGAUAUAUGCGGACGAAUAGGCAUCAUGUGCAGACGAAAGCUUGGACUGGGAAGCGUGCGCCGUUGUUUUAUUUCUGCUUUUAUUCCUUUUGUUUUGCAUUGCUUUUUUCCAUUAGACUAUUGGGGUACGUGAAGAACGAAGACGCAGACAGAUAUUGAAGAUGCAUACCAGACAAAAUUUGGGUUACUGUUUUAUCACGAACAGGUGCGUAUGUUGCUUUUUAUAUUAUUCUAUUUUGUAUGCAUCUCUUCGCAGAGUUUUCAAGUUGAAUACAAGCCGGUGUAAAGAUGUCGCAUUGUAGAUGAUGACACAAUGGUCUGGUGGAUGGUGAAGAUAGCGUGGCUGAUGUUGACUGUACAGACACGCGUUACUUGAUGUCAUGCUGUAGAUGUGACAAUGGUUUUGUGGACGACGCAGCUUGGUACUUCUUCUUGG